UUUUUCAAGAAAGAACUAAAAGCAUCACUGUGAGAUAUUUCACUUGUCCAAAAUUGUGAAGAAAGCCCAAAAUCCAUAAAAUAAUUAUGUAAACUGGUGUCAUUUAUGGAAACAACCAUCUGGCUCCAAACAAUAAUUCAUACGUCACAGAGCGUCCGCCAAUCAGAUCGCCUAAACAAGCAGCCUACUGGAUCGUUUUACAUUUCCUUUAGAGGUUAUAAGUUAUUUCCCCAAUAAGUGACCGAAAAAAUUCGUCGUAUUUUGCACAUUUGAAUAAAUUGGCCAAGGCCGAUGAUUUUUUCAGGCGCCGUCGAGUGCACAGACGUGGGCGACUAUUUGCAACAGGUGCACUAACUGUAAAAGAAUCGAAUUCUUCACAUACUGACCCAAGUCCUCGACGAGUCUCAGCAUAACUCCUCCGAUGUGCAAGUCGCUCUUCACUCGGAGUUGGCGCUCCGCUUGCAAAUCGGUAACUAGCACCCGCAGGUUCCAGGAGCCGUCACCCACUAUCUGUCCGUUCGCUAUCAUUAUUAUCAAUUACUUGUCACUUCACUAUCAUUAAGAUAAGAUAAUAAAACUCUAAUUAUUUA